rnacentral:lncRNA from 1 species
UGAAAUAUUUCAUUCAUGAGUGUCAAUCCAUAGAUUAAACACAAUAAACUAACAAAAUCAUCAUCCAGUUAAUCAUCUGAAUUUGGGCCAACAAACACAAAAAACUAACAGAAUCAUCAUCCAGUUGGGCCAACAAGCACAAAAAACUAACAGAAUCAUCAUCCAGUUUAGUCAUCUGAAUUUGGGCCAACAAACACAAUAAACUAACAGAGUUAUCAUCCAGUUAAUCAUCUGAAUUUGGCCAACAAGCAAAAUAAACUAACAAAAUCAUCAUACAAAAUAAACUAACAGAAUCAUCAUACAGUUAAUCAUCUGAAUUUGUCCGACCGGCAGUCUUGCAGGUGAGAUGGUUCGUACCGCUCAAGGUCCGCCAUCUUUUGCUGGCAUUCGCGCUCCAGGUCCUCCAGCCUUGUUUGGUAGCCCUCGUCUCUGAUCCGCCUGAUCCCGGCCAGCUCCUCCCUGCAGGACACCGCAAGAGUAAAAAAAAAAGAAGAGCAUCUCGUCUCGAGCUAACAAGAGGAGAAUAACCGUCGCGUCGUGCCUGUGGAGAUCCAGGUGAGUGCCGAAGUUGGCGAGCGGGACGGUCUGGUAGCACACCGAGCAUCGAUACCCAUGGCUCUGUGCAUGGUUCUCGAGCUCGGAGAACGGGACCUGGUCGUAGCACGAGGGGCACUCGAACGUAUGCUCUCUGGUGUGCCUCUCGUACUUCAUCUGCCUGACAUGCUCGUGGCAGAUCGGACACAGCACCUUGGUGAAACCGCCGAUCACCCAGAACGCCCUGGCGCUGGUCCCUGCAGCAAGCCCGACCGAGGCGACCGACUUGCCGUACGCGUAAAUCACGGCGGCCGUCGCCGCAGCGCUCAUGAGCACCAUUGCUGGUCCCGACG